CAGGAGGAUGGAUUUGACUGCUUGCAACCUCGUAAAAAAAUGCUAAAACU
rnacentral:ncRNA from 1 species